AUUGAACGCUGGCGGCAGGCUUAACACAUGCAAGUCGAGCGAGCGGCGGACGGGUGAGUAAUGUCUGGGAAACUGCCUGAUGGAGGGGGAUAACUACUGGAAACGGUAGCUAAUACCGCAUACCAUCAGAUGUGCCCAGAUGGGAUUAGCUCGUAGGUGGGGUAAGGGCUCACCUAGGCGACGAUCCCUAGCUGGUCUGAGAGGAUGACCGGCCAAACUGUAACUGGGACAGGGUCCAGACUCCGACGGGAGGCAGCAGGGGGGAAUAGUGAACAAUGGGAGCAAGCAUGAUGCAGCCAUGCCGGGGGUGUGAAGAAGGCCUUCGGGUUGUAAAGCACUUUCAGCGAGGAGGCGUUACUCGCAGAAGAAGCACCGGCUAACUCCGUGCCAGCAGCCGCGGUAAUUC
rnacentral:rRNA from 1 species